rnacentral:rRNA from 1 species
AACGAACGCUGGCGGCAUGCCUAACACAUGCAAGUCGAACGAGACCUUCGGGUCUAGUGGCGCACGGGUGCGUAACGCGUGGGAAUCUGCCCCUUGGUUCGGAAUAACAGCGAGAAAUUGCUGCUAAUACCGGAUAAUGACGUAAGUCCAAAGAUUUAUCGCCAAGGGAUGAGCCCGCGUAGGAUUAGCUAGUUGGUGUGGUAAAGGCGCACCAAGGCGACGAUCCUUAGCUGGUCUGAGAGGAUGAUCAGCCACACUGGGACUGAGACACGGCCCAGACUCCUACGGGAGGCAGCAGUGGGGAAUAUUGGACAAUGGGCGAAAGCCUGAUCCAGCAAUGCCGCGUGAGUGAUGAAGGCCUUAGGGUUGUAAAGCUUUUUUACCCGGGAUGAUAAUGACAGUACCGGGAGAAUAAGCUCGGCUAACUCCGUGCCAGCAGCGCGGUAAU